rnacentral:rRNA from 1 species
CAGCAGCCGCGGUAAUACGUAGGGUGCAAGCGUUAAUCGGAAUUACUGGGCGUAAAGCGUGCGCAGGCGGUUAUAUAAGACAGAUGUGAAAUCCCCGGGCUCAACCUGGGAACUGCAUUUGUGACUGUAUAGCUAGAGUACGGCAGAGGGGGAUGGAAUUCCGCGUGUAGCAGUGAAAUGCGUAGAUAUGCGGAGGAACACCGAUGGCGAAGGCAAUCCCCUGGGCCUGUACUGACGCUCAUGCACGAAAGCGUGGGGAGCAAACAGGAUUAGAUACCCGGGUAGUCCCUGUCUCUUAACA